GGGCGAGUGGCGGAAUUGGUAUACGCGCACGACUCAAAAUCGUGUUCCGCAAGGAUUGUGGGUUCGAUUCCCACCUCGCCCACCA
rnacentral:tRNA from 3 species